rnacentral:lncRNA from 1 species
GGACUGUCAGGAUUUCAAGUCUGACUCAGGCCUCACCACAGGCGGUGGGGACCGGCCGGGAAAUCCGACCGGCCUGGCCGCCCUCUCCUGAGUAUCUGGGCCUCGACCUUGCCGCUGAUGAACUCGUCACGUGAACAGUCUCCAUACGCGCCUAGCUUUGUCCCGGGCUUCCCACGUGCCGGCCAGCACCUCGCGCAGCCUUUACUCUGUGCUGAGCACUUCAUGUACAUUGUGUAUUCACCCCCCUCCUCGGCCACUCUGCGGAUGGGGAGACGUGGUGGAAGGUCCUGGCCUGGGGUCCUGCGGCCAGGGAGCAGCAGAGCUGAGCUUUGAACCUGACGCUUGCACUGGAAACCACACACAGACGACCAUGGUGGUGAAAACGAGAGCAACACUUCCUGCGCAUGGUAAGUGAUGACUCUCUCUCGGGCCCAGGAGGGGCUCCUUAGCAGUCCCCAUUAGAGGGAAGAGAAAGUGAGGCCACGCCCGUCAAGGCCAGGGGUGGAAUUUCUCCAUCGCUAGACUCUCUAAUGACCCUCUCUCCACGCCCCCUGCUGCAGCCCCC